AGUGUAGCUCAGUGGUGAGUGCUCACCUAGCAUGUGUGAGGCCCUGGGUUCCAUCCCCAGCUCU
rnacentral:tRNA from 1 species